AUGAACGCUAGCGACAGGCUUAACACAUGCAAGUCGAGGGGCAGCACAGGUAGCAAUACCGGGUGGCGACCGGCGCACGGGUGAGUAACGCGUAUGCAACUUGCCUAUCAGAGGGGGAUAACCCGGCGAAAGUCGGACUAAUACCGCAUGAAGCAGGGGCCCCGCAUGGGGAUAUUUGCUAAAGAUUCAUCGCUGAUAGAUAGGCAUGCGUUCCAUUAGGCAGUUGGCGGGGUAACGGCCCACCAAACCGACGAUGGAUAGGGGUUCUGAGAGGAAGGUCCCCCACAUUGGUACUGAGACACGGACCAAACUCCUACGGGAGGCAGCAGUGAGGAAUAUUGGUCAAUGGCCGAGAGGCUGAACCAGCCAAGUCGCGUGAGGGAUGAAGGUUCUAUGGAUCGUAAACCUCUUUUAUAAGGGAAUAAAGUGCGGGACGUGUCCCGUUUUGUAUGUACCUUAUGAAUAAGGAUCGGCUAACUCCGUGCCAGCAGCCGCGGUAAUACGGAGGAUCCGAGCGUUAUCCGGAUUUAUUGGGUUUAAAGGGUGCGUAGGCGGCCUUUUAAGUCAGCGGUGAAAGUCUGUGGCUCAACCAUAGAAUUGCCGUUGAAACUGGGGGGCUUGAGUAUGUUUGAGGCAGGCGGAAUGCGUGGUGUAGCGGUGAAAUGCAUAGAUAUCACGCAGAACCCCGAUUGCGAAGGCAGCCUGCCAAGCCAUUACUGACGCUGAUGCACGAAAGCGUGGGGAUCAAACAGGAUUAGAUACCCUGGUAGUCCACGCAGUAAACGAUGAUCACUAGCUGUUUGCGAUACACUGUAAGCGGCACAGCGAAAGCGUUAAGUGAUCCACCUGGGGAGUACGCCGGCAACGGUGAAACUCAAAGGAAUUGGCGGGGGCCCGCACAAGCGGAGGAACAUGUGGUUUAAUUCGAUGAUACGCGAGGAACCUUACCCGGGUUUGAACGCAUUCGGACCGAGGUGGAAACACCUUUUCUAGCAAUAGCCGUUUGCGAGGUGCUGCAUGGUUGUCGUCAGCUCGUGCCGUGAGGUGUCGGCUUAAGUGCCAUAACGAGCGCAACCCUUGCCACUAGUUACUAACAGGUUAGGCUGAGGACUCUGGUGGGACUGCCAGCGUAAGCUGCGAGGAAGGCGGGGAUGACGUCAAAUCAGCACGGCCCUUACAUCCGGGGCGACACACGUGUUACAAUGGCGUGGACAAAGGGAUGCCACCUGGCGACAGGGAGCGAAUCCCCAAACCACGUCUCAGUUCGGAUCGGAGUCUGCAACCCGACUCCGUGAAGCUGGAUUCGCUAGUAAUCGCGCAUCAGCCAUGGCGCGGUGAAUACGUUCCCGGGCCUUGUACACACCGCCCGUCAAGCCAUGGGAGCCGGGGGUACCUGAAGUCCGUAACCGAAAGGAUCGGCCUAGGGUAAAACUGGUGACUGGGGCU
rnacentral:rRNA from 1 species